rnacentral:miRNA from 2 species
UUGAUCCUGCCAUGAUCUCUGCA